UAGAGUUUGAUCAUGGCUCAGAUUGAACGCUGGCGGCAGGCCUAACACAUGCAAGUCGAGCGGUAACAUGUCUAGCUUGCUAGAUGAUGACGAGCGGCGGACGGGUGAGUAAUGCUUGGGGAUCUGCCUUAGAGUGGAGGAUAACCAUUGGAAACGAUGGCUAAUACUGCAUAGUAUCUGCGGAUUAAAGGGGGCUUAGGCUCUUGCUUUAAGAUGAACCCAAGUGGGAUUAGCUAGUUGGUGAGGUAAUGGCUCACCAAGGCGACGAUCCCUAGCUGGUCUGAGAGGAUGAUCAGCCACACUGGAACUGAGACACGGUCCAGACUCCUACGGGAGGCAGCAGUGGGGAAUAUUGCACAAUGGGCGAAAGCCUGAUGCAGCCAUGCCGCGUGUGUGAAGAAGGCCCUAGGGUUGUAAAGCACUUUCAGUCAGGAGGAAAGGUUAGUAGUUAAUACCUGCUAGCUGUGACGUUACUGACAGAAGAAGCACCGGCUAACUUCGUGCCAGCAGCCGCGGUAAUACGAGGGGUGCAAGCGUUAAUCGGAAUUACUGAGCGUAAAGCGAGCGUAGGCGGCUGAAUAAGCUGGAUGUGAAAAACCGGGGCUCAACCUCGGCCGUGCAUUCAGAACUGUUUAGCUAGAGUCCUGUAGAGGGGGGUAGAAUUUCA
rnacentral:rRNA from 1 species